GACUUGUAGCCAAAGACAAAUUUCACGUCAUGCUACGAAGGCGCAGCAUUAAACAUUUCCUUCAGGGAAUUGUUUAUGUGUCAAUGCUGUAAAAAAUAAACAGCUCUUCAGGCAAUAUGUCCAUCAUUCCACCUUUUUCAAUCAAAUGCUGGGGUCACUUGAUAUUUACUUAUAUAUUCUUCUCGGUGACCAAGCCAUUAUUAUAUCAUUUUAUGAUGCCUCGUGAAUUUCUUUCUCUCGCUGGCACUCCUCUCUCUGAUACUGAUUUCUCUAUAAACCUACAGAUGUUGGUGAACCGUCUGCGUUACUACCUUUGAGGGCCAGAAACGGAUAUUGAUAGUUACUAAUAGUAAUCAGAAUAGUUACUAUUUUG
rnacentral:lncRNA from 1 species